GUACAACAAGAGUGAUAUGAUGAUUAUAAGAUUUACAAUAAGAGGGAUACUAUGUGUGAUAUAUACAAUUAGAGUGAAGAACUAGAUGUGUGAGAGGUGUACAAUUAGAGUCAUACAGCAUGUGAGAGGAUUACAAGAGUGAUACCACUUGUGAGAGGUGUACAAUAAGAGUGAUACAAUGUGUGAGAGGAUUACAAGAGUGAUACGUGUGAGAGGUGUAUAAGAGUAAUAUGAUGCAAGGUGCCAUUUACUGCCACUCAUGUUACCACCACUAAUAUCACUAUAACAUCAACAAUAUUCAUAAAAAUAAUAAUACUGUAAUGCGAACGCAAAACAAUCACUUCUAACAAAAUGAAAACUACUAUCAACAAAAAUAACAACUAUUAAUGCUGCUACGACUAAUAAAAAUCCUAUUCAAAAUAAUAAAAUCAACAAAAUAUUAUAUGAAACUUCUUAAAAUCUGACAUAAAAUAAUAGGGACCGUUUGGUUACAAUCUAAUGAAAGAUUUGCGUUAAAUGCAGUAAGUAAAAAAAUAAA